GGAUUGCAGGCUGCAACCCGCCUGUAUGAAGUUGGAAUCGCUAGUAAUCGCGGAUCAGCAUGCCGCGGUGAAUACGUUCCCGGGCCUUGUACACACCGCCCGUCACACCAUGAGAGUCGGGAACACCCGAAGUCCGUAGCCUAACCGCAAGGAGGGCGCGGCCGAAGGUGGGUUCGAUAAUUGGGGUGAAGUCGUAACAAGGUAGC
rnacentral:rRNA from 1 species